ensembl:lncRNA
ACUGUGGAAUUUCUGAAAAAUGGAAUUCUUGGACUUCACUCUCUUCUGAAGAAAAGACUGUCUUACCUUAGAAGUCACAUCUCCUCUGUUCGUCAGCUGUACAGUAGUGAGUCAUUGGGGGUCGCAGAGGCGGGUUCCCUGGACACAGAGUUGGAGUCAUUGGGGGUCGCAGAGGCGGGUUCCCUGGACACAGAGUUGGAGUCAUUGGGGGUUGCAGAGGUGGGUUCACUGAUCUCAGAGUUGGAGUCAUUGGGGGUCGCAGAGGCGGGUUCCCUGGACACAGAGUUGGAGUCAUUGGGGGGUCGCAGAGGCGGGUUCCCUGGACACAGAGGUGGAGUCAUUGGGGGUCGCAGAGGCGGGUUCACUGGACACAGAGGUGGAGUCAUUGGGGGUCGCAGAGGCGGGUUCCCUGGACACAGAGGUGGAGUCAUUGGGGGUCGCAGAGGCGGGUUCACUGGUGGCAGAGGUGGAGUUGCUCCCUGUGGAGGAUUAGGGAAAAGAACAGUCUUUAGUCAACAUGUUUAGUCUACAUGUAUGUAUGUAUGCAUGCAUGUAUGUAUGUAUGUAUGCGUGUCUAUAGACACACAGAGUGGCUGAACCAGCUAAUUAAGAUCUUCAGGAGUACUUAAGGGUUGGAUCUGAACUCUGCAAGUAGGUAGGGCACCCCUGCUCUAGCCCCUUUGCAUUUAACUCAGGGGUGUCAAACCGAGCGGCAACCUCCCGCUCUCUCUCGUGAAGCCAUCAAGAAAGUGACUAAAACUGCAAUUCAUCGACUGGCCGCUUGAGGCUGGCUGCAACAGGGAGUCAGUCCCAUAGACUCCCCAUGUUAAAAUGACCAACUUUACAGCAGAAAAAAAAAACGUUUCCAGCCUGGUUCAAAAAAUUAUUUUGGUCUAUAUAGCUAAUUUUGCCCUUCAUGACAACUGUGAGGGCACAGUUUAAAUUAUCAUCCGUUUAAAUUAUAUUAAGCCUUAAAGUUCUGCAUAAUUAAGGGCGUGGCCACUUGAGUGACAGGUGGAUUGCCACUACUGACACUGCCAUCGAGCUAAGUGGGCGUGGCUUCAGCAACCAGCUCCCACCUUUUUGCCCAUUUUCGAUUAUCCGGGAGAGUCACGCGGUGAUGCGCUGCCAAGAUGGUGACGGCCUGCUCUGCACACAUUGAGCUUCAGAAAUGUCUUCAGGAGUCUAAGAGUGACGUCACGGACACUACGUCCAUGUUUUUAUAUAGUCUAUGUGUCAAACUCAAUUCCUGGAGGGCCGGAGCCCUGCAUAGGUUAGAUUGAACCCUAAUUAAACACACCUUAUCCAACUAAUCUAGUCUUUCAGGCUUAUUUGAAAGCUACAUGGUAUGUUUGUUGAAGCAGGGUUGGAACAAAACUGCAGGGCUCCGGCCCUCCAGGAACUGAAUUUGACAUCCCUGAUUUAACUGAUCUUCUAUUAUGCUACACUGCAUCACGCUCUUUA